rnacentral:pre_miRNA from 1 species
UUUCCUUAUAAAUCUAGCCUCUACUAGGCUUUGUCUGUGCAUUUGAUAUAAGAUCAGACAUAGCCUAUGAGAGGUUAGGUGUAGCAAGGGG